rnacentral:tRNA from 1 species
CCGUCGAUAGCUCAGUUGGAGCAGGUGGACUGUAGAUCCAUAGGUUGCUGGUUCAACUCCGGCUCGACGGA